rnacentral:rRNA from 1 species
UACGGAGGGUGCGAGCGUUGUCCGGAAUCAUUGGGCGUAAAGGGCGCGUAGGUGGCGGGACAAGCGUGCGGUGAAAGCUCGGGGCUCAACCCCGAGUCGGCCGUGCGAACUGUUUUGCUUGAGCACUGUAGAGGCAGGCGGAAUUCCGGGUGCAGCGGUGGAAUGCGUAGAGAUCCGGAAGAACACCGGUGGCGAAGGCGGCCUGCUGGGCAGUAGCUGACACUGAGGCGCGACAGCGUGGGGAGCAAACAGG